rnacentral:rRNA from 1 species
CCUACGGGAGGCAGCAGUGAGGAAUAUUGGUCAAUGGACGAGAGUCUGAACCAGCAAAGUAGCGUGAAGGAUGACUGCCCUAUGGGUUGUAAACUUCUUUUAUAUGGGAAUAAAAUGUUCCACGUGUGCGUUUUUGUAUUUACCCUAUGUAUAAGGAUCCGCUAACUCCGUUACUGCAGCCGCGCUAAUACGGAGGGUCCGAGCGUUGUCCGGAUUUAUUGGGUUUAAAGGGAGCGUAGGUGGUGUUUUAAGUCCGUUGUGAAAUUGUGCGGCUCAACCGUAGAAGUGCGUUUGAAACUGGGAGUCUUGAGUACGGUAGAGGUGGGCGGAAUUCGUGGUGUAGCGGUGAAAUGCUUAGAUAUCACGAAGAACUCCGAUUGCGAAGGCAGCUCACUGGACUGCAACUGACGCUGAGGCUCGAAAGUGUGGGUAUCAAACAGGAUUAGAUACCCGGGUAGUC